GUGCCAGCCGCAGCGGUAAUACAGAGAGUGCAAGCGUUAAUCGGAAUCACUGGGCGUAAAGCGCACGUAGGUGGAUAUUUAAGUCGAAUGUGAAAGCCCCGGGCUUAACCUGGGAAUUGCAUCCGAUACUGAAUAUAUAGAGUAUGGUAGAGGGAAGUGGAAUUUCCGGUGUAGCGGUGAAAUGCGUAGAUAUCGGAAAGAACACCAGUGAACGAAAGCGGCUUCCUGGACCAAUACUGACACUGAGGUGCGAAAGCGU
rnacentral:rRNA from 1 species